GCAAAGCCACCACUAAAUGUUCUUAGUGGACAGUGGACAAUGACAUCUGAGGAAGAUUAUUCUGGAGCCUGACAUAUUACACUGGAACAGAGGCCGGAGAAAGGAGCCCACAUUAAUUGUGGUGGACUUGGAAUCUGAAGAUCUGAGUGUAUAAAAUGUUGAACAAUGAAAAGGUUGGGGAAAUUAAUUAUGGUGCCUUUAAUUUUGAAACAUCAUGCAAUCAGUACAAUUGUUUUGGAAGGAUAUUUGGUGGCACGGGAAAACAGAAUAAAAUGUAAGCAUACUACAAAACAAUACAAAGCCAUUUUUGUCAAACGCCUAUCUAGGUAGGAAAUAGAUUAUCUCUGGGGUGGGAUCUUUUCUUUUUCAUAGUUUUCUGCAUUUUUCAAUUUUCCUACAAAAAGCUCGUGUUGCUUUUAUAAGAAAAAAGUUAUUUUCUGAAAGAACCUCUGGCGGAACUCAGAUUUCCAGGGACCCACAUGCCAGCACUAUCCCAGCCUCGGGUGUCUGAGGUACCUAGACCAGAGGGUGUGGCCCUGGAGGUGUGAGACAGGGAAAGCUGGGCUGGGCCGGCCGCCCCUGCCCGGGGCAAGAGCAGCGUCGGGACCGGAGGACCAGUCGGGGGAUGGGGCCGCAGAGGUGGCCGCGCGCCGGGAAGUGCUCAGGCCAGACCCUCCCCACUCGUUACACGCCCUGUGCUGGGCACGGGGAGGAGCAGGACGCCACCCUCUGGAACCACCCAGAUCGCUGGGGCCUCCGAGAACCCGGAGGGCGGAAGGCCUGAGGGCCCCCUGCAGCCGCCUACUCCUCACCCCAGCCCUAAAGUAGCCGGCGGGGAACUGCGCCAGCCCGCGCGCCCGCCGAGCCUUCGGUGACUGACGGGAGGUGGGAAUGUGGGCGGAGCCUCACGCCGGAGCUGUGAUUGGAACAACCAACACCUCCCAAUCUCUCCCAAGAGAGGGAGACAGCACCAGAGAGGGAUGCGCAGAGGCGGGGGCUUAGAGGCCUCUACGUGAUUGGCUAACAGCGCAGGGAGCCGGGCGCUGUCCCGAUGAUUGGCAGGCGCUAGACAGCCCUCGGAAACCGCCUUGGCUUCGCCCAUUGGCAUCCUGUGAGAGUAGGCGGGAUUGGUUCAUCGUGUGGUGCUGAUGAUUAGCUGGCCGCUGAGAGUUAGG
rnacentral:lncRNA from 1 species